rnacentral:rRNA from 1 species
UAGGGAAUCUUCCACAAUGGACGCAAGUCUGAUGGAGCAACGCCGCGUGAGUGAAGAAGGGUUUCGGCUCGUAAAGCUCUGUUGGUAGUGAAGAAAGAUAGAGGCAGUAACUGGCCUUUAUUUGACGGUAAUUACUUAGAAAGUCACGGCUAACUACGUGCCAGCAGCCGCGGUAAUACGUAGGUGGCAAGCGUUGUCCGGAUUUAUUGGGCGUAAAGCGAGUGCAGGCGGUUCAAUAAGUCUGAUGUGAAAGCCUUCGGCUCAACCGGAGAAUUGCAUCAGAAACUGUUGAACUUGAGUGCAGAAGAGGAGAGUGGAACUCCAUGUGUAGCGGUGGAAUGCGUAGAUAUAUGGAAGAACACCAGUGGCGAAGGCGGCUCUCUGGUCUGCAACUGACGCUGAGGCUCGAAAGCAUGGGUAGCGAACAGGAUUAGAUACCCUGGUAGUCCAUGCCGUAAACGAUGAGUGCUAAGUGUUGGGAGGUUUCCGCCUCUCAGUGCUGCAGCUAACGCAUUAAGCACUCCGCCUGGGGAGUACGACCGCAAGGUUG